rnacentral:rRNA from 1 species
GGGCCCGCACAAGCAGUGGAGCAUGUGGUUUAAUUCGAUGCAACGCGAAGAACCUUACCAGGCCUUGACAUCCUCGGAACUUUCUAGAGAUAGAAAGGUGCCUUCGGGAACGCAGUGACAGGUGCUGCAUGGCUGUCGUCAGCUCGUGUUGUGAAAUGUUGGGUUAAGUCCCGUAACGAGCGCAACCCUUGUCCUUAUUUGCCAGCACGUAAUGGUGGGAACUCUAAGGAGACUGCCGGUGACAAACCGGAGGAAGGUGGGGACGACGUCAAGUCAUCAUGGCCCUUACGGCCUGGGCUACACACGUGCUACAAUGGCUAGGACAGACGGCCGCAAACCCGUGAGGGGAGCCAAUCCGACAAACCUAGUCGUAGUCCGGAUCGGAGUCUGCAACUCGACUCCGUGAAGUCGGAAUUGCUAGUAAUCG